rnacentral:lncRNA from 10 species
UGCCACGCAUGCCUCCUGGAUCACCUCUUGGUGUCCCAUGGCCCCUGUGGGGCUCCUACCUGGCACAUCCUCACCUCCAGGCUCCCCCGGCUCCAACUCAGCAGGGAGGUGGGAGGUUGACGGGAGCAGGCAGGCAUGGGAGGGCUCAGCCGGGGUAUGAGGGGUGGGCAGAGUCCCCCCACCUGGCUCACCCUUUCUCUUCCUCUCCUCCUCUGGGCACCUUCUUUGACUCCCACAGGCUCCUAGCUCAGACCUCUCCACUCUUCCUGGCUUUCCUUCAGGGAGGUCAGGAAAGUCAGGGACCCGUGGAUAAAGACCAGGAGAACACAAUGUAAGUAUCUGGGCAAAGAACCUCUUAGGCAGAGGGCUUGGCGAGUGCAGAGCCCCAGGGACCUGUGCAGGGCCUGAUCAAGACCCUUGGAGGAGUCCAGGGGUGGCUAGAGUGCAGCAAGCAGGGGAGGGACUGGAGUAGCCAUAGAAGGGACCAGGACAGACUGAGCCCCAAACGUCCCCCUUGCCUGGCCCAGCCCAUGUGUUUCCGGUAUUGGUGGGUUCUUGGUCUCACUGACUUCAAGAAUGAAGCUGUGGACCCUGGCAAUGAGUGUUACAGCUCUUAAAGGCAGCGUGUCCGGAGUUUGUUCCUUCUGAUGUUCAGAUGUGUUCGGAGUUUUUUCCUUCUGGUGGGGUUCGUGGUCUCACUGGCUCAGGAGUGAAGCUGCGGACCUUCGCGGUGAGUGUCACAACUCUUAAGGUGGUGCGUCUGGAGUUGUUCGUUCCUCCCGGUGGGUUCGCGGUCUCACUGGCUUCAAGAGUGAAGCUGCAGACCUUCAACAAAUGAGUGUUACAGCUCGUAAACACGGUGUGGACCCAAAGACUAAAAGAACAAAGCUUCCACAAUGUGGUAAGGGUACCCCAGCGGGUUGCCGCUCCUGGCUCGGGCAGCCUUCUUUUAUUCUCUUAUCUGACCCCACCCACAUCCUGCUGAUUGGUAGAGCCGAGUGGUCUGUUUUCACAGGGUGCUGAUUGGUGUGUUUACAAUCCCUGAGCUAGACACAAAGGUUCUUCACGUCCCCGCCAGAUUAGCUAGAUACAUUGUCGAUUGGUGCAUUCACAAACCCUGAGCUAGACACAGGGUGCUGAUUGGUGUGUUUACGAACCUUGAGCUAGAUACAGAGUACCGAUUGGUGAAUUUACAAUCCCUUAGCUAGACAUAAAGGUUCUCCACGUCCCCACCAGACUCAGGAGCCCAGCUGGCUUCACCCAGUGAAUGUGGAGCUGCCUGCCAGUCCCGCACCGUGCACCCGCACUCCUCAGCCCUUGGGUGGUUGAUGGGACUAGGCGCCGUGGAGCGGGGGCGGCGCUCGUCAGGGAGGCUCGGGCUGCACAGGAGCCCACGGAGGAGCGGGGGAGGCUCAGGCAUGGCGGGCUGCAGGUUCCGAGCCCCGCCCCGCGGGAAUGCAGCUAAGGCCCGGCGAGAAAUUGAGCACAGCAGCUGCUGGCCCAGGUGCUAAGCCCCUCACUGCCUGUGGCCGGUGGGGCCGGCUGGCUGCUCCGAGUGCAGGGUCCGCCGAGCCCACGAACCCCACCAGAAGGAAGAAACUCUGAACACGUCCGAACAUCAGAAGGAACAAACUCCAGACACACCGCCUUUAAGAACUGUAACACCGCGAGGGUCCGCGGCUUCAUUCCUGAAGUCAGUGAGAUCAAGAACCCACCAAUUCCGGACACACAUGGGGAUGCUAGGCCAAAACCCGAGCAGAAAAGCGUAGGCGAGCAGCUGGCAGCCACCAUCGCAUUUGCUCCCGGAAGGCAAGAGGAGGCAGAGAAAAUUCCAGAACCCAUUUAAGCGUCUGGGACCCUGAGGUAACCAUGAGCUACUGGCAGGCCGGGGGACACAGCGGGUACAGAAGGGGUCUCUGGAGUUUCGUGAGGAAGUAUUCGGGCUGUGCGGCGCCGCGACCCUGGC